UUUUUAGACCUAUGCAAUAGGUAUUUUAGGUAAUGCUUCAGGGUGGGAACACAGCAGAGCCCCUGAAAUACUUAUGUGCCAUAAUAAUCUGGAAAAGA
rnacentral:SRP_RNA from 1 species